GAGAAAUACCGAAGAAGAGUCAGUCCCUGUUCUCAUUGAGCUUGCACAAGAGUUGGAGGAAUUAAAUACACACCUAAGACUCUACCGAAGCACCAUCACAGAGCAGGACACGGAUGCCCUGGUGAGUGCUAUUCUGAGGCAAGACCAGUUGACUACAAAACCAGCUUGAGGUGAACGUAAAC